AGGGGACGCCAGGCGAUCCAGGGAUCAAGGGCAGCAAAGGGGAGACAGGUCUCAGAAGGACUGGCCCAAGAGGACCACGUGGAUUUCCUGGCCCUCCGGGAGAAGAAGGAAUUGUAGGAGCCCGUGGCCCAGUUGGCAUGAUGG